rnacentral:rRNA from 1 species
GAUGAACGCUGGCGGCGUGCUUAACACAUGCAAGUCGAACGGUGAAGCAGGAGCUUGCUCUUGUGGUUCAGUGGCGAACGGGUGAGUAACACGUGAGCAACCUGCCCCUGACUCUGGGAUAAGCGCUGGAAACGGCGUCUAAUACUGGAUAUGUGAUGUGACCGCAUGGUCUGCAUCUGGAAAGAAUUUCGGUUGGGGAUGGGCUCGCGGCCUAUCAGCUUGUUGGUGAGGUAAUGGCUCACCAAGGCGUCGACGGGUAGCCGGCCUGAGAGGGUGACCGGCCACACUGGGACUGGGACACGGCCCAGACUCCUACGGGAGGCAGCAGUGGGGAAUAUUGCACAAUGGGCGGAAGCCUGAUGCAGCAACGCCGCGUGAGGGAUGACGGCCUUCGGGUUGUAAACCUCUUUUAGCAGGGAAGAAGCGAAAGUGACGGUACCCGCAGAAAAAGCACCGGCUAACUACGUGCCAGCCGCCGCAGUAA